CUCUCCUUGCAUUCAUCUUCCCCCUCCUGCCCCCCUCCCCCAUUCUUUUCCUGCCUACACUCUGACUCUAGUCCCUUCUCAACCUUGCUUCCCAAGCCCCAGAUAAACUCUAUUCUAUACUAGCAGGCCUGGCAGGGCUGUCAGCCACUCAAAGCACCAGUAAAAGGAAGUGACUUUUGUUGCUGUGUGGAGAUAGUAGUAGGCAGGACAGGUGUUCCGCAGGCAAGCUUCUGCCAGACAUCCUUUCAACAGUCUCCAGUGUCCAACUGCCAAGGACUCGGUGUUAGGCAUUAAAUGUAGGACAUUGAACAUGCCGGACAUGCUUUGAUACAGAGCUCCAUCUCCCACCACUCCAGUCUUCAUCGAGGCAUUUCAUAAAGGCCCUACAGGAUCCAGAAUGUCUGUUUGUUUCCUGGAGCUCUGUGACUUUCAGCUCAACCAUGACCUGCCCAGAGGCAAGGUAGCCAGUGAAAGGAGCCACUCUCCCUAGGCUGGGGACAGACUGUCAAAGAGGGAGGGUCAGAGCAUCUCAUCAGCAUCUCUAGUGACGUGAAAACUUCAUUGGCUAAGUUCCAACU
rnacentral:lncRNA from 1 species